rnacentral:rRNA from 1 species
ACGGAAGGCGCAGUGGGGAAUAUUGGGCAAUGGACGAAAGUCUGACCCAGCGACGCCGCGUGAGGGAAGAAGGUCUUCGGAUUGUAAACCUCUUUCAGCAGGGAAGAAGGAAGUGACGGUACCUGCAGAAGAAGUCACGGCUAACUACGUGCCAGCAGCCGCGGUAAUACGUAGGUGGCGAGCGUUAUCCGGAAUUACUGGGUGUAAAGGGUGUGUAGGCGGGGAAGCAAGUCAGAUGUGAAAAUUAUGGGCUCAACUCAUAACCUGCAUUUGAAACUGUUUUUCUUGAGAGUGGGAGAGGUAAACGGAAUUCCUGGUGUAGUAGUGAAAUGCGUAGAUAUCAGGAGGAACACCGGUGGCGAAGGCGGUUUACUGGACCACAACUGACGCUGAGACACGAAAGCGUGGGGAGCAAACAGGAUUAGAUACCCUGGUA